rnacentral:rRNA from 1 species
GUCCUUUUGAAUUUUAUAGAAGGUCUGACCUGCCCAGUGAUAAUUUUAACGGCCGCGGUAUACUGACCGUGCAAAGGUAGCAUAAUCAUUAGUCUUUUAAUAGAGGGCUGGAAUGAAAGGUUUAACGAGGAAUUGACUGUCUCAUUUUAUUUGUUUUAGAAUUUAAUUUUUUAGUCAAAAAGCUAAAAUCUUAUUGGAAGACGAGAAGACCCUAUAGAUCUUUAUAAAAUCUUAUUUAAUUAUUUUUAUAUUAUUUUAUUUAAAUGAUUUUUUAUUUUGUUGGGGUGACAAAAAUAUAUGUAAAACUCUUUUAUUUAUUUAACAUUAAUUUAUGAUUAUUAGAUCCAUUAUUAGUGAUUGAUAGACUAAGUUACCUUAGGGAUAACAGCGUAAUCCUCCUCCAGAGUUCAUAUUUACAGGAUGGGCUUGCGACCUCGAUGUUGGAUUAAGAUGAUAGUUAGGUGUAGCCGCUUAAUUUAUAGGUCUGUUCGACCUUUAAACUCUU